rnacentral:rRNA from 1 species
AGAGUUUGAUCCUGGCUCAGAAUCAACGCUGGCGGCGUGCCUAACACAUGCAAGUCGCACGAGAAAGGGUAGCAAUACCUGAGUAAAGUGGCGCACGGGUGAGUAACACGUGAAUUAUCUACCUCCGAGUGGGGAAUAACUGAGAGAAAUCUUAGCUAAUACCGCAUAACACUUACGAGUCAAAGCAGCAAUGCGCUUGGAGAGGAGUUCGCGGCCGAUUAGUUAGUUGGCGGGGUAAUGGCCCACCAAGACGAUGAUCGGUAUCCGGCCUGAGAGGGCGCACGGACACACUGGAACUGAAACACGGUCCAGACUCCUACGGGAGGCAGCAGUGGGGAAUCUUGCGCAAUGCGCGAAAGCGUGACGCAGCAACGCCGCGUGGGGGAAGAAGGCUUUCGGGUUGUAAACCCCUUUCAGUUGGGACGAAGCUUCUCCGGUGAAUAGCCGGAUGGAGUGACGGUACCUUCACAAGAAGCACCGGCUAACUACGUGCCAGCAGCCGCGGUAAUACGUAGGGUGCAAGCGUUGUCCGGAAUUAUUGGGCGUAAAGAGCGUGUAGGCGGCCCCAUUAGUCCGCUGUGAAAGUCCAGGGCUCAACCCUGGAAUGCCGGUGGAUACUGUGGGGCUAGAGUCCGGAAGGGGCGAGUGGAAUUCCUGGUGUAGCGGUGAGAUGCGCAGAUAUCAGGAGGAACACCAAUGGCGAAGGCAGCUCGCUGGGACGUGACUGACGCUGAGACGCGAAAGCGUGGGGAGCAAACAGGAUUAGAUACCCUGGUAGUCCACGCUGUAAACGAUGACAACUAGAUGUGGGGGGGUGUCGACUCCCCCCGUGUCGAAGCUAACGCAUUAAGUUGUCCGCCUGGGGAGUACGGCCGCAAGGCUAAAACUCAAAGGAAUUGACGG